rnacentral:rRNA from 1 species
AACGAACGUUAGCGGCGCGCCUAACACAUGCAAGUCGAACGCGACAGGGGCAACUCUGUUGAGUGGCGCACGGGUGAGUAACACGUAGGUAAUCUCCCCUCGAGUGGUGGAUAACCUUCCGAAAGGAGGGCUAAUACAGCAUAAGACCACGGCCUCGAAAGAGGCUGAGGUCAAAGCGGAGGAUCGCAAGACUUCGCGCUUGAGGAUGAGCCUGCGGCCCAUCAGGUAGUUGGCGGGGUAAUGGCCCACCAAGCCUAAGACGGGUAGCUGGUCUGAGAGGUGAAUCAGCCACACUGGAACUGGGACACGGUCGAGACGCGUACGGGAGGAGGCGGUGGGGAAUCUUGCGCAAGGGACGAAAGUCUGACGCGGCGAGGCCGCGUGGGUGAUGAAGGCCUUCGGGUUGUAAAGCCCUGUGGGGAGGGACGAAUAAGUUCCGGUUAAUACCCGGAGCGAUGACGGUACCUCCUUAGCAAGCACCGGCUAACUCUGUGCCAGCAGCCGCCGUAAGAC